rnacentral:rRNA from 1 species
AAUGAACGCUGGCGGCAUGCCUAACACAUGCAAGUCGAACGAGACCUUCGGGUCUAGUGGCGCACGGGUGCGUAACGCGUGGGAAUCUGCCCUUGGGUUCGGAAUAACUCGCCGAAAGGCGUGCUAAUACCGGAUGAUGACGUAAGUCCAAAGAUUUAUCGCCCAAGGAUGAGCCCGCGUAGGAUUAGCUAGUUGGUGGGGUAAAGGCCCACCAAGGCGACGAUCCUUAGCUGGUCUGAGAGGGUGAUCAGCCACACUGGGACUGAGACACGGCCCAGACUACUACGGGAGGCAGCAGUGGGGAAUAUUGGACAAUGGGCGAAAGCCUGAUCCAGCAAUGCCGCGUGAGUGAUGAAGGCCUUAGGGUUGUAAAGCUCUUUUACCCGGGAUGAUAAUGACAGUACCGGGAGAAUAAGCCCCGGCUAACUCCGUGCCAGCAGCCGCGGUAA